UUCUUAUUAGAUGAUGACUAUCACGUUUCAUGUUCUGAUUGGAUGUCAACUCCAUGAAAGAUGAAAUGAAUUGUUGUUGUCCUUGGCCAAUCAGAACAUGACAUGUGACAUUCAUCAUCC
rfam:Glycine soja cultivar W05 scaffold1207_110, whole genome shotgun sequence.